GAUGAAGAACGUAGCGAAAUGCGAUAAGUAGUGUGAAUUGCAGAAUUCAGUGAAUCAUCGAAUCUUUGAACGCACAUUGCGCCCUUUGGUAUUCCAAAGGGCAUGCCUGUUCGAGCGUCAUUUGUACCCUCAAGCUUUGCUUGGUGUUGGGCGUCUUGUCUCUAGCUUUGCUGGAGACUCGCCUUAAAGUAAUUGGCAGCCGGCCUACUGGUUUAGGAGCGCAGCACAAGUCGCACUCUCUAUCAGCAAAGGUCUAGCAUCCACUAAGCCUUUUUUUCAACUUUUGACCUCGGAUCAGGUAGGGAUACCCGCUGAACUUAAGCAUAUCAAUAAGCGGAGGA
rnacentral:misc_RNA from 1 species